rnacentral:rRNA from 1 species
CCUACGGGUGGCAGCAGUGAGGAAUAUUGGUCAAUGGGCGAGAGCCUGAACCAGCCAAGUCGCGUGAGGGAAGACGGUCCUAUGGAUUGUAAACUUCUUUUGCCGGGGAGCAAAAAGCGGUACGCGUACCCCAUCGAGAGUACCCUGAGAAAAAGCAUCGGCUAACUCCGUGCCAGCAGCCGCGGUAAUACGGAGGGUCCGGGCGUUAUCCGGAUUUAGUGGGUUUAAAGGGAGCGUAGGCCGGAUGUCAAGCGUGCUGUGAAAGGUUCGGGCUCAACCCUGGACUUGCAGUUGGAACUGGCGGGCUUGAGUACGGGGGAGGCAGGCGGAAUUCGUGGUGUAGCGGUGAAAUGCUUAGAUAGGACGAAGAACCCCGAUUGCGAAGGCAGCUUGCUGCAGCGGAACUGACGCUGAUGCUCGAAAGCGUGGGUAUCGAACAGGAUUAGAUACCCCGGUAGUC